CCUACGGGAGGCAGCAGUCGAGAGGCUUUGGCAAUGGGGGAAACCCUGACCAAGCGACGCCGCGUGGGCGAUGAAGGCCUUACGGUUGUAAAGCCCUGUCAUGGGGGAAGAAAAAGCGGUGGGUGAAUAGCCCAUGGCUCUGACGGUACCCCAGAAGGAAGCUCCGGCUAACCCCGUGCCAGCAGCCGCGGUAAU
rnacentral:rRNA from 1 species